rnacentral:rRNA from 1 species
ACGCUCGACACCUACGGGGAGGCAGCAGGUGGGGAAUAUUGCACAAUGGAGGAAACUCUGAUGCAGCGAUGCCGCGUGAGGGAAGAAGGUUUUCGGAUUGUAAACCUCUGUCUUUGGGGACGAUAAUGACGGUACCCAAGGAGGAAGCUCCGGCUAACUACGUGCCAACAGCCGCGGUAAUCUGAGCGGGCUGGCAAGGC